GUACUCCGGGGAUAACAGGCUGAUACCGCCCAAGAGUUCAUAUCGACGGCGGUGUUUGGCACCUCGAUGUCGGCUCAUCACAUCCUGGGGCUGAAGUAGGUCCCAAGGGUAUGGCUGUUCGCCAUUUAAAGUGGUACGCGAGCUGGGUUUAGAACGUCGUGAGACAGUUCGGUCCCUAUCUGCCGUGGGCGCUGGAGAACUGAGGGGGGCUGCUCCUAGUACGAGAGGACCGGAGUGGACGCAUCACUGGUGUUCGGGUUGUCAUGCCAAUGGCACUGCCCGGUAGCUAAAUGCGGAAGAGAUAAGUGCUGAAAGCAUCUAAGCACGAAACUUGCCCCGAGAUG
rnacentral:rRNA from 1 species